AUUCUCAGGGCGGGGUGAAAGUCCCCACCGGCGGUAAUCGCAGCAGCGUAGCCCGCGGGCGCUUCUACUGAAUUAUGCAAGGUAGAGGGACAGCAGACCCGGUUAGAUUCCGGGGCCGACAGUUAAAGUCUGGUUAUGAGAAUG
rnacentral:ncRNA from 1 species